CUGGGUCGUACACAUAUAUAGUUGAGUCAGCAAAAACGAUCUCCAGCGUAACAUAGUGUUUAUUGAUGCACGCUGGAAUGUACAUAUGUGUACAACCCUCCCAUGAUUUUCCCGCGACACUCGGUGACAGUCCUAUCACCCACUCGAGCAUAUAUUCUGGCACCGUGUACUCGUUACCCAUAUGUGCGAGCGACUGAUACUCUACGGUAACGGCACCCAGGAACUCGGUGUUUAAUAUGACUCGACCAUGGACAUCAAAUGAUUUUGGAUGUCUUUGAGCUCGAUCUCGCAGCAAGUCCAUGGCCAGGUCGAUGUGCUGUAGCAGGAAACACCGAAAAAGUAU
rnacentral:lncRNA from 1 species